rnacentral:rRNA from 1 species
UAAGACAGAGGCCUCAAGCGUUAGGCGGAAUCACUGGGCUUAAAGCGUGUGUAGGCGGGUCGUUAAGUACCUUGUGAAAUCCCACGGCUCACCCGUGGAACGGCUGGGUAUACUGGCGAUCUUGGGCCAACUAGGGGCGACUGGAACAAGCGGUGGAGCGGUGAAAUGCGUAGAUAUCGCUUGGAACGCCGAAGGUGAAAACAGGUCGCUGGGGUUGUGCCGACGCUGAGACACGAAAGCCAGGGGAGCAAACGGGAUUAGAUACCCCGGUAGUCCUGGCCCUAAACGAUGUCCACUAGAUUGCGGUGCCUUUGACGGGCGUCGCGGUCGAAGCAAAAGUGUUAAGUGGACCGCCUGGGAAGUACGGUCGCAAGGCUA